UCACUCUACAACUUGGUCCCGAAUAAGAGCACACAGUCUCAGCACCGUGAAGCAUAGUGCAUUGGCUGAGCCUGUCUCUCCAUCUAAGAAGCAUGAAACUGCAACAUCUUUUGUAACUGAGUCUCUUGACAAGCGAUUGGAGGAUUCAAGCUCAGCUCAACUGCUUAUGACUCAAUCCGAAGGAAUUGACCUGAACAAUAGAACUAGCAACAUUCAGAAUCACUUGCUGCUUUCCCGAGAAUGUGACAGUGCCCAUUCUCUCCAUCUUGAAAUGGCCAGAACAGGAACGCAUCCAGUUUCCAUGGAAAUCCAAGAAUCCUCCUCUAGACUUCUAGUAGCCAGUAGAAAUAGUCCCUCUUCACCACUGAAGGAAUUAUCAGGAAAAUUAAUGAAAACAGCUAUGUACGGGUCUGGCACAUGGAUGGAUACGACGGUCUCUUUAAGUUGUGCCCAGUCUUCUGUUAUUAUACUGCACACUUGUGGGAUAAAUUAUGAUGGAUUCCGCCAAGUUGCCCUCAGAGAAGUUUUUCAAUCUUUUUUUUUUUUUUUUUAAGUUUUUCGAUCUUAUACUCCUCCCAACUUGCCCCAUGUGAGGGACCAGCUCCCCCCACGUUCAUAAGAGCAUCUGCAGAGUUUCACAGAGCAACACGAUUCUGUCCACACCCUGGGGCUCCGGCACUCCAAACAGACUAUUUUUAGUAAGGAAAAAAAUUUUUUUUUUUUUUUUAAGGCGAAACGGCACUUCUGUAUUUUUGGAUGUGCUUCCUAAGAAAAUAAGACGUAAUAACAAAGCAAUCUGUUCUAAGGAAUUUUGUUCCCUGACCAAGUUUAAUUUAUAUGAGAUAAUCUUCAACCCGAUCUUAACCUCUCCCUCCCGGAAAGACUGAAUUCAGUCUCUAAAAUCAUCAGCUUCUAUGGCUAGACUAUUUCUUUUUCCCAGAUGAACAUUUCAUGCACAAAAGAAUGGAAAAAAAUACUCAGUGCUGAUUUCACUUGGGACUGUUAUUAUCUAAAUAGACUUGCAUGCUGUCCUGGGAGAUCGAGUGGUAACAGCAGCGAACAUCAAGGCCUCGUCUCUCUUAAUGAUGGCAAGAUAAUGGCUUUCGGUGUUGGAUGGUGCCAGCUACAAUGCCAGCUGCUGGCAUAUUUAUCUAGGGAGGGCUUCCGGCAGGACAAAGGAUCCACAGGGAGGAGAAAGGACAAAGACACUUUAAAUCCACCUCAGUUCACAGCAGGAGGAAACACUCUUCCAUUUAAUUUUGAAAAUUAUGCUUUUACUUCCUGAAGCCAGCAGGACAUCUAGUGUCUCUAUACAUAAAAAAAUUGUGUGUGCCGGCAAUGUUGGAAUGCAGGUGAUUUCCUUCAAAUGAUCCCCUACAACCAGAAGACUCAGCUAACUCAGAGCUCGAGAGCCCAAAUUGGUGAACACAACACUUUCCUCUUCCUUAGUGACAAGGAGGACUGACCGAGUCUCCAGUUUCUAGUAGGUGGCGGUGAUAUGGGGGAUGGGGUGUGGUCUACAUUCCAUUCCUCUGAGAAAAGGGAGGAGAAAUCAAACAGCUAAAUAGUCGCGUUAGAAAAGGCUGACCUCCCACACUGGCGACAGAUAUGGGUCUAAUUCAGUCAGCUACAAGGCUGUUACAGGUUUUGAAGACAUGGUGGCAAGCCCCCCCCCCGCCCACCCCCAAGCCAUUGCUGCAGUGUCGCUGGUGCGAGUUCACCCACAAGGAAGAAGGAUGGAUGCCAAAAGCAGAAUGGGAGACACACAGAUGAACCUGAGGACAUUACAUAAGGAGACAUAAACCUGACAAGAAGGCUGGAUGAUUCCACUCACGUGAGGGCAUACUGCACAGAACUUUCUUCUUUUUCUGCACAUGAGCCGUGUGAGAUGAAGAACCAGACCAUGAGUCAGUGGAAGACUAGAAUGUCACACAUCUCCUGAAUUCCUGUUUACACCAGGGUCUACCAAAUACUUGAACAGAGUGCUAAGUCAAUGAUAAACAAAUGGCCAUCCACUCAGAAAAAAAGUUACAGUUCUACAUAGCAAAAUAAACACAAACUGCAAAAAAGAAAGAUUUAAAUAUUUUAACAAGGAUGAUCUGGAACCUGUGUGAUGGGUAUAAGCUAGUAUUUUAAUGUAUGAAGAGCUCUGAGACUUCAAGGUGAAGAAAGCAGAUUGAACACAUGGGCUUAUUUUCUUUCCCUCUUGAAGCCCCAAGAAGACCACAGAAACCAGAGCUUGCUUGUUCCCCCCAAAGGUAUUAAGAAGAGCAAAAAAGGAAAGAGGAAAGGAAACAAAAUUCUGGCACCUGAAAAGCAGACAGACAGAAGUAACUAACAUAACAGAGCUAACAAAAUGAAAUCCCAAGCCAGCAGUGGAGAUGGAGAAGAGCAAAUAUCCAACUUGAUUUUAGUGCAAAAUUUCCCAAAGGCUCAGGAAAUGGGAUGGCAUGGGGCGUGCUUCAGGAGGUGAGAAGGGAGGUGGUUAAAACAGAGUUGGCUUGGAAGUCCGUCUACAAGGCCAUUCGAGUCAAGUGAAGCCGAGGGAGUAAAACAGGGUCUCUCGACAGGGUGGAUAGUGGGCAUGACUCUUCUAGAUUUAAAAACAAAUUCUCAGUAAACUCAAAGCAAAGGCAAGCUUCCGUUAGUUAAGAGCAUUUAUCAGCAAAUGACUGUGAAAAUUAGUAAAGGGAAUCCUUACUAAAGUGGAGCAGGAGAGAUCGAGGGAAAGGCUGGAAGGCGGAGCCUACCACCCAAUGUCAAUUGCAGGAAAAAUUGUCAAUUGCAGAGGUCAGAAGAACCUUCAACAGGAAAGAAUUGUCCAUUACAGGAUGGACACAGCAUCUCCUGCAAGAAACCGACUACCCCUUCAACUCAGUCAGUGACAGAGAAGCUGUGGUCACCCUGAACUUUUGCUUUUUCUCCAAUGGACUUUUGUUCAAAACAACUCCUCCCAACUUCCCCUUCUCCAUAAAAUAACGUUUCUCUCUUGAUUUUUUUUGGACUUCUCUAUGGUUUUGCUAUAGUUUGCUUGUCCCAAAUUGCAAUUCUGUGUUUUCCUGAAUAAACCCACUUUCUGCUGGUAAAAUGACUAUCUUACUUUUAAGGUUAACACAAUAUAAAAAUGACAUUUCAUGGCGAGGCAUGAGGGAUUGCCCUGAAAACAGGGGAAUCAAGGGGACUUUGCAGGGUGCACAGGCGGUCGACUGACCCUCCAAUUCCCUGUGCUCCUCUCUGGUCCACUCCCCCAAACACUGGCUAUCAGGCUGGCGCCUUCAGCCAGAAGAUAGGGAGGUCCUUCUCCGGGGAAUCUGACCAGCCCAACAGGACAGACCUGAAGACACAGAUACCAGGCGUCCAUCAAGGACAUGACAGAGGCACAGCACUCUACAGUGAUGACCACAGUCGCAAGCCUCACACAUGAGCUUGGAGCCACUGGUCAGCUUUGGAGAGUCCCACACUUACAUGAGAGCAACAGUUAAGGACCACUGCUUUUCUGAUUAAAUAUCUAGCACACAGAGAUCAAGCAAUACCCACAAAACAAAGAAACCUGGAGGAAAGGACUUAGGCAGGGAAAAGAUUUGGGGAUAAAAGUGACAUACAGUUCUGGGCAAGAGUAACAGAAGAUAUCCCAUCUGUGAAACAAAACCAGAAAUGCUAUAAAAAAUUCAGGGUCCGUGGGGUGCCUGGGGGGUCUCAGUCUUUGUGAUUGCCUUCUGCUCAGGUGAUGGUCCCAG